UAUGUGAUCGUCUCUCGCAUAUCAAUAAGCGGAGGAAAAGAAACUAACAAGGAUUCCCCUAGUAACGGCGAGUGAAGCGGGAAGAGCUCAAAUUUGAAAUCUUAAAGGGUUUCCCUUUACGAAUUGUAGUUUAAAGAAGUGUUUUCUGUUGAGGUUUUGGUAAAAGUUCUUUGGAAUAGGACAUCAUAGAGGGUGAGAAUCCCGUAUUUGACCUUUACUUUCAACUUUGUGAUACACUUUCAAAGAGUCGGAUUGUUUGGGAAUGCAGUCCAAAAUGGGUGGUAAAUUUCAUCUAAAGCUAAAUAUUGGCGAGAGACCGAUAGCGAACAAGUACCGUGAGGGAAAGAUGAAAAGAACUUUGAAAAGAGAGUUAAACAGUACGUGAAAUUGUCAAAAGGGAAGCGUUUGACACCAGUGUUGUUUUUCUGAAAAUCAAUUAAAGAACUGUUUAUGCUAAGCUUGUUUAGACUUUAUCAGCUAUCUGCUUAGUUUUGAGCUUUUCUUUAAUGCACUUUUCAGUUAACAAGUCAACAUCAAUUUCUUCUGCUGUAAAAAAGCUUGAGGAAGGUGGCUUGAGAUUCGUCUUAAGUGUUUAUAGCCUCUUGCCUAUGCAGUCGGAGAGAUUGAGGUCUGCAGCGUAGAUCCUUCGGGGCUAAAUGCAUUUGUGCUAAGUUAUAGCAUUUUAUAGACAACUUGUUGACUAUGAUUUGUCUUGUAGCUUACUCGCUUAUGUUAUUUUACCUACGCUUAGGAUGUUGAUCUACAGAGCGAGAGU
rnacentral:rRNA from 1 species